CACAUCCAUCCUGCCUUUGACAGAGAAUCACCCCGAAGAUAUUCAGUCGCAGACCAGCAGAUGCUUCGAUCACUGUGACACAGCAGACUGUACUAUUUUCCAUGAAAUCAACAAACAACCUGAUUACAGGGAAAGUAUGCUGUGACUUCACAACAUCAUACCGAGUUUAGUUCUCCCUGAGUGAACUCUUCCCCAUCGAUCACUUUAAUACCGGAGAGCUGAGCGCCACCACACAGAGGGCGAGACAUCUUUCAGAGAGAUAAAGAUUUAUGACA